rnacentral:tRNA from 1 species
CUAUAGCUCAGCUGGAUAGAGCAACGGCCUUCUAAGCCGUGGGUCGCAGGUUCGAAUCCUGCUAG